rnacentral:misc_RNA from 1 species
ACGAAUUUGGGCCCCAAUUGGAUCCAUCAUCCCCCUCAAACCUGUGGAAGUGAGAUGUGUUUCGGCGCCCAGAGGCGCCGAAUCUAUGCCGUUUAGCUUGUGUCUGAAGUAAAAACAGAUUUA